rnacentral:tRNA from 1 species
GCUUGCUUGGUGAAAUUGGUAAACACGACAGACUUAAAAUCUGUACCUUUUUUAGGUUAUCGGUUCAAGUCCGAUAGUAAGCA